CGCAUCUGUGCAUGCAGCAUAUCAAUAAGCGGAGGAAAAGAAACUAACAAGGAUUCCCUUAGUAACGGUGAGUGAAGCGGGAAGAGCUCAAAUUUGAAAUCUUCAAGGUUUUACCUUGACGAAUUGUAGUUUAAAGAAGUGUUUUCUGUUGAAGUUUUGGUAAAAGUUCUUUGGAAUAGGACAUCAUAGAGGGUGAGAAUCCCGUAUUUGACCAUUAUUUUCAGCUGUGUGAUACACUUUCAAAGAGUCGGAUUGUUUGGGAAUGCAGUCCAAAAUGGGUGGUAAAUUUCAUCUAAAGCUAAAUAUUGGCGAGAGACCGAUAGCGAACAAGUACCGUGAGGGAAAGAUGAAAAGAACUUUGAAAAGAGAGUUAAACAGUACGUGAAAUUGUCAAAAGGGAAGCGUUUGACACCAGUGUUGUUUUUCUCGAAAAUCAAUUAAAAAGAGUUAGAUUUUGUUGUGUAUUGACCUUAACAGCUUGCAUUUCAAUUUUCUUGCUUUUUUUAAUGCACUUUUCGUUUAACAAGUCAACAUCAGUUUCUUUUGCUUGUAAAAAGGUCAUUGGAAGGUGGCUUUCUUUUCGGAGAAAGUGUUUAUAGCCUUUGACUCCUGCAAUCGGAGAGACUGAGGUCUGCAGCGUAGAUCCUUCGGGGUUAGAUACAUUUGUGCUAAGUUAUAGCUUUUUAUAGACAACUUGUUGACUAUGAUUAGUCUUGUAGCUUACUCGCUUAUGCUAUUUUACCUACGCUUAGGAUGUUGAUGUGAUACUGCGAGCA
rnacentral:rRNA from 1 species